rnacentral:rRNA from 1 species
AGUGAACGCUGGCGGUAGGCCUAACACAUGCAAGUCGAACGGCAGCACAGUAAGAGCUUGCUCUUACGGGUGGCGAGUGGCGGACGGGUGAGGAAUACAUCGGAAUCUACUUUUUCGUGGGGGAUAACGUAGGGAAACUUACGCUAAUACCGCAUACGACCUACGGGUGAAAGCAGGGGAUCUUCGGACCUUGCGCGAUUGAAUGAGCCGAUGUCGGAUUAGCUAGUUGGCGGGGUAAAGGCCCACCAAGGCGACGAUCCGUAGCUGGUCUGAGAGGAUGAUCAGCCACACUGGAACUGAGACACGGUCCAGACUCCUACGGGAGGCAGCAGUGGGGAAUAUUGGACAAUGGGCGCAAGCCUGAUCCAGCCAUACCGCGUGGGUGAAGAAGGCCUCCGGGUUGUAAAGCCCUUUUGUUGAGAAAGAAAAGCAGCAGGUUAAUACCCCGCUGUUCUGACGGUACCCAAAGAAUAAGCACCGGCUAACUUCGUG